CAAUAGCGUAUAUUAAAGUUGUUGCAGUUAAAAAGCUCGUAGUUGGAUUUCUGGUGGGAGCGAUCGGUCUGGCGCUUAGCGCGAGUACUUGCAUCGUCUCCGGCCAUCCUUGGGGAGAGUCUGUCUGGCAUUAGGUUGUCGGGCAGAGGAUCCUCAUCGUUUACUGUGAAAAAAUUAGAGUGUUCAAAGCAGGCUUAUGCCGUUGAAUAUAUUAGCAUGGAAUAAUGAGAUAGGACUUUGGUACUAUUUUGUUGGUCUGUAGGACCGGAGUAAUGAUUAAGAGGGACAGUCGGGGGCAUUCGUAUUUCAUUGUCAGAGGUGAAAUUCUUGGAUUUAUGAAAGACGAACUACUGCGAAAGCAUUUGCCAAGGAUGUUUUCAUUAA
rnacentral:rRNA from 1 species